rnacentral:rRNA from 1 species
UCGGGAUAACACCUGGAAACAGAUGCUAAUACCGGAUAACAACAGAUGAUGCCUAUCAACUGUUUAAAAGAUGGUUCUGCUAUCACUCUUGGAUGGACCUGCGGUGCAUUAGCUAGUUGGUAGGGUAACGGCCUACCAAGGCGAUGAUGCAUAGCCGAGUUGAGAGACUGAUCGGCCACAUUGGGACUGAGACACGGCCCAAACUCCUACGGGAGGCAGCAGG